AAGCAGUAGCCGCGGUAAUACGAGGGGGGCAAGCGUUGUUCGGAUUUAUUGGGCGUAAAGGGUGCGUAGGCGGUUUGAUAAGUCAUCUGUGAAAUCUAUGGGCUCAACCCAUAGCCUGCAGGCGAAACUGUCGGGCUUGAGUAUUGGAGAGGUGAGUGGAAUUUCCGGUGUAGCGGUGAAAUGCGUAGAUAUCGGAAGGAACACCUGUGGCGAAAGCGGCUCACUGGACAAUAACUGACGCUGAGGCACGAAAGCUAGGGGAGCAAACAGGAUUAGAUACCCGCGUAGUCCCUGUCUCUUAUAC
rnacentral:rRNA from 1 species